rnacentral:rRNA from 1 species
AUGCUUAGGAAUCUGCCUAUUAGUGGGGGACAACAUUCCGAAAGGAAUGCUAAUACCGCAUACGCCCUACGGGGGAAAGCAGGGGAUCUUCGGACCUUGCGCUAAUAGAUGAGCCUAAGUCAGAUUAGCUAGUUGGUGGGGUAAAGGCCUACCAAGGCGACGAUCUGUAGCGGGUCUGAGAGGAUGAUCCGCCACACUGGGACUGAGACACGGCCCAGACUCCUACGGGAGGCAGCAGUGGGGAAUAUUGGACAAUGGGCGAAAGCCUGAUCCAGCCAUGCCGCGUGUGUGAAGAAGGCCUUUUGGUUGUAAAGCACUUUAAGCGAGGAGGAGGCUACCGAGAUUAAUACUCUUGGAUAGUGGACGUUACUCGCAGAAUAAGCACCGGCUAACUCUGUGCCAGCAGCCGCGGUAAUACAGAGGGUGCGAGCGUUAAUCGGAUUUACUGGGCGUAAAGCGUGCGUAGGCGGCUUUUUAAGUCGGAUGUGAAAUCCCUGAGCUUAACUUAGGAAUUGCAUUCGAUACUGGGAAGCUAGAGUAUGGGAGAGGAUGGUAGAAUUCCAGGUGUAGCGGUGAAAUGCGUAGAGAUCUGGAGGAAUACCGAUGGCGAAGGCAGCCAUCUGGCCUAAUACUGACGCUGAGGUACGAAAGCAUGGGGAGCAAACAGGAUUAGAUACCCUGGUAGUCCAUGCCGUAAACGAUGUCUACUAGCCGUUGGGGCCUUUGAGGCUUUAGUGGCGCAGCUAACGCGAUAAGUAGACCGCCUGGGGAGUACGGUCGCAAGACUAAAACUCAAAUGAAUUGACGGGGGCCCGCACAAGCGGUGGAGCAUGUGGUUUAAUUCGAUGCAACGCGAAGAACCUUACCUGGUCUUGACAUAGUAAGAACUUUCCAGAGAUGGAUUGGUGCCUUCGGGAACUUACAUACAGGUGCUGCAUGGCUGUCGUCAGCUCGUGUCG